rnacentral:rRNA from 1 species
GACGUAGGGCGCGAGCGUUGUCCGGAUUUAUUGGGCGUAAAGAGCUCGUAGGCGGCUUGUCGCGUCGGCUGUGAAAUCCCGUGGCUCAACUGCGGGUCUGCAGCCGAUACGGGCAGGCUAGAGUUCGGUAGGGGAGACUGGAAUUCCUGGUGUAGCGGUGAAAUGCGCAGAUAUCAGGAGGAACACCGGUGGCGAAGGCGGGUCUCUGGGUAGUAACUGACGCUGAGGAACGAAAGCGUGGGUAGCGAACAGG